rnacentral:rRNA from 1 species
UACGUAGGGGGCUAGCGUUAUCCGGAAUUACUGGGCGUAAAGGGUGCGUAGGUGGUUUCUUAAGUCAGAGGUGAAAGGCUACGGCUCAACCGUAGUAAGCCUUUGAAACUGGGAAACUUGAGUGCAGGAGAGGAGAGUGGAAUUCCUAGUGUAGCGGUGUAAUGCGUAGAUAUUAGGAGGAACACCAGUUGCGAAGGCGGCUCUCUGGACUGUAACUGACACUGAGGCACGAAAGCGUGGGGAGCAAACAGG